rnacentral:lncRNA from 1 species
GGAGAAGCAAUCAUCCUUCUGAACACCUGCUUCCACAAGUCGAGUUGUGAAGUUACCGUAAUUGAUUGCCUGAACAUAAUAUUUUACCAUGUUCAAGUAUAAAGUUGGGCGUACGUUGUUUUCACAAACAAGUUCAUAAUUUUUGUGGCCGCAGCUUUCGGGAUCGGUAUUUAAUCGAAAAGGGUAGCUAAUAUUAUGGAUAUUGCCGCAAGAAGAACGAGCGCAGUAAUUGUUGUUCUUUCUAGCACUGCAACCAUGGUGGGUGGAUAGGAUCACUAGCAAAAGAAGGGCUGCAUACGCACCACCAAAGAGGUGCCUGAAUAUUCCUCCGAACAUUAAUUGAGAGAGAAAAAGUACUUCAGGGAAAUAAAAUAUUGGGUUUGUUAAACUUUGCUUACAAGGUUUAUAGGAUAUAUAUACAGACAACGACUACCAUCUUGAUCAAUAUGAAAGGAAAUCAAUGGUCACAAAUUAAAGUCUUUGAAUUAUUGCAUGGUCACUGUCCCACAGAUAAAGCAUUGGGAAAUUACAUGAAGAGUUCCCACAAAAGAAGCGGAAGACCUCUAAUCCAUGGCUUCCACUUAGGAAGUCAAGCUCGUCAACGUACAUCAUGAACCCGUUCUAAAUGCGACGCUGACGAUCCAAAAUAGAGAAGAAAAAAGGGAAAACAAAAUGUAAGGAGCCUUCACUUGAAGUUUCCAGGGCAAAACAAGACAAUUAUAGUAAGGAGAAACGCACUCGGUCAUGAUCAACGCUUACAGAAAGCUUACGAUCAAAAGACAUAUGGUCCUUCCUGUCUUCCUUCGUUGCUGACACGACGAAGACACAGAGAAAAAGUAAAGAAAAAUAUGUGUUACACAUUUGGUCAUGAUCAACGCUAACAGAAACAUGACGAUCAAAACGCACUUUCUCCUCUCUUUUCUUUUCUGUACUUUAAUAUUGUCGGGUUGCCGACACAGCGAAGACCCUUACUGCAAUAAGUAUGAAGCCGUGAAAAUAUUACUGAUUUCUUUUAAUUUAGUCCUUUUUAAUUAAAUAUUAAGUAUAACAAAUAAUACAUAAGAGAAUCAAUGUGGUUAUAAACUCACCUCAUUAUUCACUGCAAUAGCGGAGUGAUGUCUGUAACCUUGGAAAAACAAAUUGUUUGUCUUUAAUUAAGGGGUAUUUUGAUAUUUUCACACCAAUUAUUUGUUAUUAUUGAUUUGUACGAGGGUAUUUUUAUUUAUAUAAUAUUUUAUGAACAAUAAAUAACAAAAAUACCUCAUAGAGUAAAAAUAAUCAAUUGUUUCAGGUAGGGUAUUUAUAUUUUUUUUUUGUUUUUUAUAUACAAUUUAAUUAUAAAAUAUAUACUUGGAUCUAAGAAAUUUAAUGCAUUGGGUCAGGGGUAUUAGAGUCUUUUGGUUUUCUUUUUUUGUUAAUUAUUGGUUUACAUGGGGUAGUGUCCUAAUUACCAUUAAAAUAAUAUGUUUAAUUAGAAAAAUUGCAUGUGGCAUCUUUUGGGCGGCACUUACAGCGUCUUCUGGUGGUCAAAAAUACGAUUUCGUUGUAUAAUUUAAUUCUCUCGCAAUUUUUUCUUCCAUUCGCGCGUGUAGUCUAAAUAUUCUUGGUUUAUCGCCGAAGACCCCCUUUUCCCCUUCAUUUCUCUUUUCUACUCCAAUAAAUACAUUAUGAUCCUUAGUGUUAUUGGUAUUUCAUAUUCAAUCCUUCUAGCACUGCAACCAUGGUGGGUGGAUAGGAUCACUAGCAAAAGAAGGGCUGCAUACGCACCACCAAAGAGGUGCCUGAAUAUUCCUCCGAACAUUAAUUGAGAGAGAAAAACUUCAUGGAAAUAAAA